UUGUCUUUCAGAAACAUUCGAUAAAAUUGUAACUAUACAGAAAAGAUUAGCAUGGCCUGCAAAAGGAUGACACACACAAAUUUAUUCAGAAUAUUAGUUAAU